rnacentral:rRNA from 1 species
CAGUAGCCACGGUAAUACGGAGGGGGCUAGCGUUGUUCGGAAUUACUGGGCGUAAAGCGCACGUAGGCGGCUUGGUAAGUUAGAGGUGAAAGCCUGGAGCUCAACUCCAGAAUUGCCUUUAAGACUGCCGAGCUAGCAGGUGAGAGAGGUAAGUGGAAUUCCGAGUGUAGAGGUGAAAUUCGUAGAUAUUCGGAAGAACACCAGUGGCGAAGGCGGCUUACUGGCCCAUACUGGACGCUGAGGUGCGAAAGCGUGGGGAGCAAACAGGAUUAGAUACCCCCGUAGUCCCUGUCUCUUAUAC